rnacentral:rRNA from 1 species
GACAGAGGUGCCGAGCGUUAGGCGGAAUCACUGGGCUUAAAGCGUGUGUAGGCGGACGUCUAAGUACCUUGUGAAAUCCCACGGCUCAACCGUGGAACUGCUCGGUAUACUGGUCGUCUUUGAGCCACUUAGGGGCAGUCGGAACAGACGGUGGAGCGGUGAAAUGCGUAGAUAUCGUCUGGAACGCCAAAGGUGAAAACAGACUGCUGGGAGUGCGCUGACGCUGAGACACGAAAGCCAGGGGAGCGAACGGG